AUGUCUUUCGACCUAACCAAUGCUCCAGCUACUUUCUCCCGCUUGAUGAACUCGAUCUUUAUGGAGUACUUAGAUAAGUUCGUCGUGGUUUACCUCGAUGAUAUUCUUAUUUACUCAAAGAACGAGGAAGAGCAUGCCGCACAUCUUAGACUUGUGUUAGAAAAACUCAGAGAGCACCGCCUUUAUGCCAAGUUCUCCAAGUGUGAACUUUGGUUGCCAGAAGUGACCUAUCUAGGCCACGUGAUCUAUGGUAAGGGCAUUGCUGUCAAUCCCAAGAGAGUCAAAGCCGUUCUCGAUUGGACUCCACCCGAAACGGUCAAACAAGUUAGGAGUUUCCUUGGUCUAGCCAGUUAUUGUCGCCGCUUCGUUGAAAACUUCUCCAAAGUGGCCAAACCCCUCACGGAACUUCUCAAGAAAGAUAAAAGGUUUGAGUGGACCCCACAGUGUGAGCACAGUUUUCAGGAACUGAAAAGACACCUGACUUAUGCGCCCAUACUCGUGCCACCGGAUUUCACUAAAGACUUUGUUAUCUAUUGCGACGCUUCGUGUCAAGGAAUAGGUUGCAUCCUUAUGCAGUAUCGUCAUGUGAUUGCCUAUGCCUCUCGACAGUUGCAUCCACAUGAGGAAAAUUAUCCUACACAUGAUCUGGAGCUUGCAGCCGUAGUCUAUGCACUUAAGACUUGGCGACAUUACCUUCUUGGUAACCGUUGUGAAAUCUACACUGACCAUCAGAGUCUCAAGUAUAUCUUCACCCAACCGGAUCUGAAUCUCAGCCAGAGAAGUUGGUUGGAGUUGAUCUCGGAUUACGACUUAGGAAUCACCUACACCCCAGGCAAAGCCAAUGUCAUGGCUAAUGCUCUAAGUCGUAAAUCCUAUUGCAACAACCACAUGUUGCAACAAUGUCAACCACCCCUCCAUGAGAAAUUCUAUAAGCUUAAUCUUCACAUAGCUCCUCAUGGUUCCCUUUCUACCUUGGUGGCGAAACCUACCCUUACGGAUCAGAUCAUAGAGGCUCAGAAGCAUGGUACGGGAAUCUCCCGGAUCAAGAAAAAUAUUUCCAAGGGAGUUGCCGACUAUUUCUCUAUGGAUGAACGAGGUGUUGUUUACUUUGGAAAUUGUUUGGUGGUUCCCAAAUGUCAACACAUGCAGCAACUAAUCCUUAAGGAGGCCCAUGAAUCCCCUCUCAUGAUUCAUCCCGGUAGUACAAAGAUGUAUCAGGACCUACGCCAGAGGUUCUAG
rnacentral:rRNA from 1 species